CUCAAAGAUGUCUCUAUAAUAAGUUUCGGAUUUGAUCUAAUCAAAUCUGACUCUAUGAGUUUAUUAGAUUGUAUCGGUUCUUCUACCGAUUGAACUUCAUCAAGUUCAAUCUUAGAGGUAUUAGUUCUUUCCCUAAGGAACUCCUUUUUCAAAAAAGAUUGUCCUAUUGCUGAUGAACACUUUUUGUUCAUCAACAAAGUAGAAGUAAUAUCCUUAAUCUCUUUUGGAUACCCUAUAAAUAAACAAUUAUCAGACCUAGAUCCAAGCUUAUUAGUUUUCAAAUAUUUGAUAUAAGUCGGACACUCCCAAACCCUAAGGUGAGAGAGUACUAGCUUACGUUC
rnacentral:lncRNA from 1 species